rnacentral:lncRNA from 1 species
UUGAACAUAUAAUAAAAAACUUUUUUUUUUUGAGAGAGAGAUAGAUAGCAUGCUAUCCGUUUUCUUUAAACUUAGUUGAAAAUGUGAAUCAGCUAGGAUUCAAACUUGGGACCUCGGAUACAAACCAUCAAACCCUUUGCCACUUGUGCUAGGGACAGUCGGUAAGAUAUACUAGAAAACUAUAGUUCUACUUUCAGUGUUUCUAUUCUACUCGUGAGAGAGAGGUCAAAGACAUAUGUACUUCUUAAUGGAGUGUUGGACUCAUCUAUUUGACACAAUGAGGAUCGAGUCGUUAUAUUCUGGAGAGGACAAGCAAGCGAUCUACUGUAUCGUUUUGAGAACUUUGCCAAUCGUAAAUAGCUUGAAUAUUCUUAAAGUGACCUCUAUU